GGGGGGGUCAGAGUCUGGACACUGGGGGGGGGGUCAGAGUCUGGACACUGGGGGGGUCAGAGUCUGGACACUGGGGGGGGGUCAGAGUCUGGACACUGGGGGGCGGACCGGGGGGCUCACUCACCGAGGAAGGAGGGCUGGAACAGCGCCUCUGGGCAGCGGAACCUCUCGUUACCGAUGGUGAUGACCUGCCCGUCGGGGAGCUCGUAGCUCUUCUCCAGGGAGGAGGAGGAGGCAGCGGUGCUCAUCUCCUGCUCGAAGUCCAGCGCCACGUAGCACAGCUUCUCCUUGAUGUCACGCACGAUUUCCCUCUCAGCAGUGGUGGUGAAGGAGUACCCUCGCUCGGUGAGGAUCUUCAUGAGGUAGUCUGUGAGGUCUCGGCCGGCCAAGUCCAGACGGAGGAUGGCGUGGGGCAGAGCGUACCCCUCGUAGAUGGGCACGGUGUGGGUCACACCAUCCCCGGAGUCCAUGACGAUUCCGGUGGUACGGCCGGAGGCGUACAGGGACAGCACGGCCUGGAUGGCCACGUACAUGGCGGGGGUGUUGAAGGUCUCGAACAUGAUCUG